rnacentral:rRNA from 1 species
CCUACGGGGUGCAGCAGUGAGGAAUAUUGGUCAAUGGACGCAAGUCUGAACCAGCCAUGCCGCGUGCAGGAUGACGGCUCUAUGAGUUGUAAACUGCUUUUGUACGAGGGUAAACCCCGAUACGUGUAUCGGGUUGAAAGUAUCGUACGAAUAAGGAUCGGCUAACUCCGUGCCAGCAGCCGCGGUAAUACGGAGGAUCCGAGCGUUAUCCGGAUUUAUUGUGUUUAAAGGGUGCGCAGGCGGAUUUUUAAGUCAGCGGUCAAAUCGUGGGGCUCAACCCCAUCCAGCCGUUGAAACUGGGGAUCUAGAGUGUGCGAGAGGUAUGCGGAAUGCGUGGUGUAGCGGUGAAAUGCGUAGAUAUACGGAGGAACACCAGUGGCGAAGGCGGAUUGCUGGACAGUAACUGACGCUGAGGCGCGAAAGCGUGGGGAGCAAACAGGAUUAGAUACCCUUGUAGUC